rnacentral:lncRNA from 1 species
ACUACUUCCACAUAAACCCAAAAAGAUGGUUAAUUUUGUAAUGAAUUGGCUUUCCAGCAGUUCUGGUCAACUCAGCUUGUGUGGUACCCAUUGCCAAAGCUGCAAAAACAAACAGCACAAAACACUUUGGAGGAGUGUGUGGUGUGUGUGUAUUUUCAUUAUAAAAAUAUGUACAAAAUUGCACUGUGAAUGAGCACCUAAACAAAACAGAAUAGGAAGCACUAAAUAAGGUAUCGCUAAAUUGGUCCUUACUUAAAAAUAUAAUAGUGCUGAAAUUUGGUCACCAACACUACAAAUUCAUCCUUUUUUGGCUUUAUUUAUUCAACACAAGGUACAACACAAGGUAAGUAGAUUGCAUAUUCACUCAUUCCUUUUUGCGAAACCCUUUUUUUGUGUGUCUAAUUGAAUUGGUUGUUCCGGGAAGAAUUAUAAUCAGAUCUGGUUGAUUCUACAGAGUUUAGCUUUGUGGGUUUUGUUCUCUAGCAGAAGAAAGGCAAAUUCAGAGCAAGAAAAGAGCAACAAAGGCAAUUUCGCAAAUUUUCAAAUAAACUUACGAUGCAAUUAACUCGAUAGCAGCAAAACACAAACAAGGAAACAACUUCAAAUCCGCAGAAGCACCAAUCUUUACUCGAUCGAAAAAUCGAAGAACAAACAACGAAAGAGUUAGCGGCACCAAUCUUUGCUCGAUCGAAAAGCCGAACAAGGAACAACGAAAGAUGAAAUAAAAUUACGAUGCAAUUACCGUGAUAGCAGCAAAACACAAAGAAGGAAAGAACUUCAAAUCCGCAGAAACACCAAUCUUUGAUCGAUCGAAAAGCCGAACAGGAAACAAUGAGCGGCAGAAUUGGAUAAGGAAGAUAGCCAAGCGGCUAUAUAUUGUAAGAACCAGGCAAAAUUAGAGCGACAGAUAAAAUCAUGAUGCAAUUACCUUUGAUAGCAGCGAAACACAGACAAGAAACAAACUUCAAACCGGCAGAAACAUCAAUCUUUGCUCGAUGGAAUUAUAAGGAGAAAAGCCAAAGAGGGAAGAAAAAAAAAUUUAGCGAUGGAAAUGGAUAAGGAACACAGUGAGGCGGUUCUAUAAUUGGAUUAAAGAAGAGAAGUUGAGGCGGUGAGAGUUAAAAUUUAUCAAAAUUACGAAAAUACCCUUUUUCUCAAGCGACAUGUUGACGGUGUCAUGUCUGCUUGAGCAGCCAUACUGACUUAUUAUAUAGGAGAAAAUAAAAUAUUUAUUCCCCACAAAAAGAUAAAGCAAUCAAAAGUACCGAUGCUAUCAUAUUUAUAGAAGCUAAUAGGAUCAAUUUUAAACUAAGCAAAUAUUGCAUACUGUCAAAACUAGGGAUGUGCAUCGAUCGGU